GGACACAGCCAGACUGAUGCUGAGGUAAUACACUAUGGAGAGGGGACACAGCCAGACUGAUGCUGAGGUAAUACACUAUGGAGAGGGGACACAGCCAGACUGAUGCUGAGGUAAUACACUAUGGAGAGGGGACACAGCCAGACUGAUGCUGAGGUAAUACACUAUGGAGAGGGGACACAGCCAGACUGAUGCUGAGGUAAUACACUAUGGAGAGGGGACACAGCCAGACUGAUGCUGAGGUAAUACACUAUGGAGAGGGGACACAGCCAGACUGAUGCUGAGGUAAUACACUAUGGAGAGGGGACACAGCCAGACUGAUGCUGAGGUAAUACACUAUGGAGAGGGGACACAGCCAGACUGAUGCUGAGGUAAU